rnacentral:rRNA from 1 species
UACGAAGGGGGCUAGCGUUGUUCGGAAUUACUGGGCGUAAAGCGCACGUAGGCGGGUAUUUAAGUCAGGGGUGAAAUCCCAGAGCUCAACUCUGGAACUGCCUUUGAUACUGGGUACCUAGAGUAUGGAAGAGGUGAGUGGAAUUCCGAGUGUAGAGGUGAAAUUCGUAGAUAUUGGGAAGAACACCGGUGGCGAAGGCGGCUAUCUGGACCGACAUUGACGCUGAGGCGCGAAAGCGUGGGGAGCAAACAGG